rnacentral:lncRNA from 1 species
UCAAUAUUAAAUUAGCAUGUAUUCAAUUUACUAAUUGUUAAUAGUUGAUUAUUAGUAUUUUACAUUAUAUUAAGUUACAGUUUACGGGUACAAAUUUGAUUUGGUGUCCCAUCCAUCAUGCAUUUAUUUCAAUUCCUGUCUUUUUUGUAUAAUCUAAUCUUCGUUUAUUAUAUCCUGUUUUUAAUUGCAGUAACUGAGUAAAAGGAAUUUGAAAGAAGCAUAAAAGUGAUUUUUCUGUUGGAAUUUGACAUCCUGGUAUCACCUGCUGAAAUCAUAACAUUGAGUGGCACUAUUAUAAAGCCAUAAAAGCAAGUGACAGCAUUAAUGAAAGUGUUGUGGGUUGUUCAUUAUGAUAGUAACCAUUACAAUGCUGUUAUUCCACAAUUGUUCUUUUGCAGUCAUCAACACCUCACUAGAAAGGUAGGAUUCAUUUAUUCACCUUUCUGUUAAAUUUAAAAUUAAUUUCUCCUUUAUUAAACAAGCUGAGAUUACUAAAAUGCAUUAAAUAAUCUGAAAAUACCAAAAUUCAUUAAAGUGGUUGUAGAGUAAUGCUGAAAACGAUUUAUAGUUAGUAAUUACUGGGGUACACUUAAUGACGUCAUUUUUAUUUGUUAAUAAAUUGAUUUCUUCCUUAUUAAAAGAGCCAAAUAAACCAAAGUGUAUUACGGUUUUUGUGAAGCAUCAGUGAAAAGAAUUAAUAGAAUAAUAUAGUUAGAAGUUACGAGGGAACACUUUCAACCCCCCCUCUUUAAAAACGUUGUUAUUUUUUAUAAAUUAAUUUUUCUCCUAUAUGAAACAAACUAAGAGUAGUAAAAUGAAAUAAAGUAGUUGUGAGAGAAUCCAAAUUAAAAUUAUGAGGCUAAAAUUUGCUAGUGCAUAUCUAAAUAUGCAUUUUGAAAACAGUCUUUCAUAAAAAAAUUAGAACUGCUGCUCUACUGAUGAUGAAAAUACUUUGCUGUAUUGUGGGUUGCCGAUAUGAAGGACAAAAUUUUUUUAUUUUAAUACUAUUUUAAAUUCCAAUUAUCAGAGUACCUUCGCUCAUAAUUAAAGUAGUGCGCUGUAGUCUAGUUAAUUUUGAAAAUGUUACAGUGUGCGUCAAAAUUUGUAAUUAAUUUUUUCGAGUUUAAAUAAUCUAUUUAAAUUUAUUUGAUGUAAAUGAAUGUUGUUCACAUCCUUUUAAAUAUUUGUCUAAUCCUAUUUUUGCCUUGUGCAUUUUACAUUACAAUUUUCUAUACAAUUUGGUUUAGUUUGGGAAAGCUGUUCUUUUCAUUUUUCAAUUAAAUUUUCCGUCAUUAAGGUGAGAGAAUAAAAAUGUAAUAAAAUAAUUAUUAGUCAAGAAGAGCUAACUGUUCAUGUGUGCUCAUUUCUGUAAUACCUACUAAAAACAAAAUCAAUGAAAAUAUUGCGAAAUAUAGUGAAUGUGGAAAAAUUCUAGUUUUUUCAACCUUAUCCUGUUUACACCGUUUGGCUAAGGCCCUAGUGUAAAAUUUUGUCUUGUUUAUAAUUUUUUUGAAUAUAUGUAAUCUUUUUUAGUGUUAAACCAAUCAGAUAUUAAUAAUUGGAAAAUGUCUAAAAAAUAAAAACCAUUGUUGCAUUUUGUAAGUAAGAAACAAAAAGAAACUGGGUGAAACUAUUGUUAGCGACUAUGCAGUAGUCGCAAUCUCAUCACUAAUUUGCUAUUUUACUUAUAAACUUUGAGUGCGUUUUAACUUGAUUUCGUGUUUUAUUUAUUUAAUGGUAUAGCUAAUUCGUUUCUACUUGUUCUGUUCUACAGAUUGACGAUAAUUGAAAGCGUAUUGAUGUUUAUUCUUAUACUGCUACAAUAUCGACAGUUGGAAUGAUGUACAAUGGUGAAGUUCUACCUGCAUUUCAUUUGUACUUUUCUUCAAGUUUAAUAAUCUUGCAGUUUAUUACGGGCUAUAUAUAAAUUCCGGACGUCGUAUGUUGUGGAGCAUUCAUUGUAGCAGUUCUUUUCUUCGGAACGUAGCAGUACGCCAAAGGGUACUUGUUCAUUUGUCACAAUGAAUUGUCAGAAGUUAACACAAUCAAGAGUACAAAAUAUGAUCCUUUACAUAUUCCCUUUUGAUUGGUGUUGAAUAGAUAGCUGAUCCACAAAUACCACACAUGUCAUUAAUAAACGUUGAAGUUUAUCGUAGGACAGCAAGGAUAUUACAAUUUAGGUAAGAUUUUAGAACCUGCUGUAUGUAAAUAAAUAAAUAUAUGGUUAAGAUGGUUAAUUUUGUUACUGUGUUACAUUCCCACUUUUCAUUUCAUUAUUG